rnacentral:hammerhead_ribozyme from 1 species
AUCUAGCUGACGAGUUCCGAAUAGCACGAAACGCUUGUUCUGGAU